rnacentral:rRNA from 1 species
GCAUGUAUCACUUAUAUAAAUUUUAAAACAGUAAGUUAAUAUAUUUGGAAGCUAAGCAGGGUCGAGCCUGGUUAGUACUUGGAUGGGAGACUACCUAGGAAGACCAGGUGCUGCAGGUG